CCACAGCCUCUCCAGCAGCCUGGAGAGCCUCACCACUCUCUCUGUAAAGAACUUCCCCCUGAGAAUGGAUGUUGAGGGAUGUUAGAGGCAGAUGUUGGUCGUAUAACAGUAGAGUUUGAACCUUCCCACCAAUAUUCCAUUCCAUGUUGUUGCCAUGAGACAGAUGACAGCAAAGGGGCAGUAUGACAUGAUGGCAUCUGGCCUGGAAGUGCAGCUGAAGUACAGGUGUAGAACUGAAUUUCUCCGUGAAGAAAAAAUGGCACCCACUGACAUCCACUGAUGCUUGCUGAGUGUUUAUGGAGACCAACCAGUGGAUCUAACCAUUUUCUUUCAAGUCAGCCCAGUUGAGGAGAUGCUGAAGGCCUGAAGGCUGGUGUAAGCCCUGCUGGGGACACUGAAAGCCCACAUGCUGCUCAUGUCAGCAGGCAGAGCAGGUGGAGUAUGGUGCAAGGAGCUUGUAAGGCCUCCUAAACGUAAUGAUGUUUACCCUCCUGCUUGGUAGCCUGCCAACAGAAAGGCUUCGUCUCUCCAAUAACUGCCUCCAUCUCUGUGAUUGGACUCACCUGCAGAUAUUUUCUUCUCUACGUUACCAGAAGUCUGCUGGAACCAAUCACCCAUGGAGAGGACAGUGUCACCCAUGCAAAUACUCAGAACCCACCUGGGCAUGGUCCUGGACAUCCUGCUGUGGGUGAUGCUGCUGGAGUGGGCAGCUGGACUGCGUGGUCUCUGGAGAUGCCUCAGCUGUUCUGUCAACACAUCUGGGUUCUGUAAUGCGUGUAAAAAUACAGCGAAAAGCAAUGAUGCCAAAAGAAGUCCAGGGACCUCUGCUCCUCUCUGCAAGCCUAUUCACUGCCUGGCAAGUCCAGCUUCAGUUCAGGCUCAGUCAAAGUCACAGCAGGGACCAAAACCAUACUGAGAUGAGAGGAAGGAGGAAGAUGGAUGUGGUCGAGAUCCAAGCUGCUGGGACAGGAGACCUUCCGUGCCCCCUCAGCAGCUGCCCCAGCAGUGAGGUAGCCCAAUGGGCAGUUGAAGGGAGGCUGUCCCACCAGUGUCCAGCUGGUAGCUGAAAUGGGCAACCUGCAGGACAUUUCCUGAUCUCUGCCAGCCAAGAACUACAAAACCCUCUGUAAAAAAUAAGUGGAUAGAAAGGCUAGGGGAGGACUGUCAUAGCUGCUUUUACAGCAGCAGUGCAGCUGAUGGCUGAUUAAAGAGGUGGCUCACCGAAGCCCGAUUAUAAUCUGGCAUCUAAUUGCUCCUGGCUAGUGCUAGCCCCCCAGGCAGGAGGCAGCUGGCUGCCUGCAGUUCUCCAGCCUCUAAGGAGAAGGGAAAAACUUUGCUGGCUCUGUGGGUUUUUCUCUUUGGCACAAAUUGGAAACAAAUCACUCAUCGUUUUUACUGUUGUAAAUGUUAUGGGUUUUUUUUUUCCCCUUUAUGUGAGGCAACCUCUAAUUAGCUCCAUGAGUAAGACCAUUCUGUGUCUUAAAUGACUUGAAUUCCAGCCUCAUAAAGUUGUUUUUUUUUUUUUGUU